rnacentral:lncRNA from 1 species
AAAAUUUCAGAGUGAUGCGAAAUCUACAGGUACAUAGAGGAUAGAUACAAGCAAAUAAUGGAACAAGUUCGAUCCGGGGCUGUUAAUUUACGAUCCAGGCACAAACUUGGUAGCAUAGACCCAAGCAUUGUUGGCAACAGGGUUGUCAAGGUGGUCCAAGAGAUUUUCCAGUGGACCUUUGCCUGUGACAAUGGCUUGAACGAAGAAACCAAACAUAGAGAACAUGGCUAGCCUGCCAUUCUUGAUUUCCUUAACCUUAAGUUCAGCAAAUGUGACAGGGUCAUCAGCAAGACCAAGAGGGUCAAAGUAUUGGCCACCAGGGUAAAGGUCAUUGCCUUCCCCGACUCCGGGGAGACCAUUGAUGCGGAAUCCUUCGACUAGUCCCAUGAGGACAACUUGGAACCCGAGGACAGCGAGAAUGCUUUGAGCAUGAACAAGGUUGGGGUUGCCUAGGUAGUCCAAGCCACCUUCUGAGAAAAUUUGAGCUCCUGCCUUGAACCAUACUGGUUCCUUGAAGUCAACUCUAAGCCAUUUCUCAAGGACUUCUGGGGUGAUGCAGCCUAGUGCUCCCAGCAUUGCCCAUCUUCCAUGGAUUACCUAUAA